GAAAGUGGUGACUUCUCAGUUUGGAAAAUUUUCCCAUGGACAGAAUCAAAGUCCUUGGGUGUACAAUCUUAAGAUCAUCUUCGCCAAGUCGAUGUCAAAUCAAAUAAGAAUUACUUGAGCAAAAUCUUUUUCGCGAAAAUCACCUUAUUUGACGACUAUGAAUUCUUAUGACUUAAGACGAUCUUGAUUGAAUAAGAUGAUCUUGGCCAAGACGAUCUUAAGCGCUGCCUUGAGCUUGGACUAUGAAUACGCCCCAUGGAGUAAGAGAAUAGGAGGCUAAACUCAGCACUCCAAUUACGUUCUCGUUUCGUGUUCCCUAUUGAGAGGAUGGUCGCUGAAAAGAAUAACUUCUUACAGAUGAGCGUCAUUUGUAAUAGUUAUUCUAACUUGACUUUUCAUGUAUUUUUAUAGAGUUCAGUAUUUUUACCCGAAUAUUGAAACAUUUAUUUAUUUGUAAACCAAACAUAGAAAUGGCGUGUUGGAUUCAAGGAUGUACCACAAAAAGUGGAAAAAGUGGUGCUUCGGCAAAAAAAGUCUUUUUACAGCUUUUACUGUUUGUUCGAGUUGCUUGAAAUCCCCAAAAAUUUUUACACUCGAGAUGAAAUAAAUAUAUAUUCGACUGUGAGAAAGAGAGAGAGACGACGAAAAAAUUAAUUAAAAAAGGGCAGCAACACGAAUAGGCCUAAUGUAUAUGACGGUACUAAAUAAAAAGGAAAUGAACAUAGAAACGGAUA
rnacentral:lncRNA from 13 species